CAGAAGUCUCCUGGCAAUGGGGGCAAGGGGCAAGAUAAGGGAGGGACGAGAGCUCGAGGCCCUCCCCGGACUUGGAAGCUCUAGAAGCUCUAAAGACCCCUCCACCCGUGCACCACCCGAGCGCGGCCGCGACGCACCGACCUCCCCCGAGCCUGCGGGGUCCCCAGAGGGUGCGCACUUCCAGCUCCGAUCCCACCCCGCAACUCCAAGUCCGGUCCGCUGACGGGGAGCGCUAGGCUGUUCCUUUGUGUCAAGGGGCACCCACAACGUCCCAGCAACAUUGCAGGGGCAGUGGCCAGGAUCGUCCCUUCCCCAAUCCGCCGGCACCGAGAAGCCCAAAGACGGUCGGAAAGGGCGGCGGGUUCCUACCGAGACCGAGCACCUUGAACAUAAAAGGAAUUCAAUGAAUGUCUACUGAAUGGAUGGAUUCCUUCCAUGAAGAAAGGAGCCAAGAGAAUGACUAAUGAAGGUAAUUAGCCAGAAAGAAAUCCAUGUAGAGAGUUGAAAUCUUCCAUGAAGAAAGAAAGGAGGAGAGAGGAGAGCCCAGAUCCAAGGCCUAAAGAAAAUGGACGUUUAGAAUUUUAGAGGAAGGACAACAAAAAGAGCAAGAAGCAGAAGCUGUUGCCUAGGGAACCUGAGCUCUUCCAAGCUUGACGGAGAACCAGGUCCCUGCCUUUGCUGCCAGAAGAAAGACUUGAGACUGGUUUCUGGGCUACAUACUUAGGUUUAAAACUUUUUCUUCAUUUAUUCAUCAGUUGUGCACCUACUAGAGAGGCCAAGAGUUAGUUUCAUGUGGAUGACAGACACAGCAUGGAACAGACAUAUACAUAUAUAAUCACAAAUCCAAAGAGAGACUAUACUAUGCACAUAUAUGCUAUGUAUAUUCUACUUUACUAUGAGACUACCCAAGAGAUGUAAUUGAGACAAGGGAAGAUGUCUCUGAAGAAAUGACAUUUAAGCUGAAAGCUGAAGGACAGACAGGAUGCAAUUACAUGCAGAGUAGGGGGGAAGAGAAGGCCAGCAGAGGUACAAAGUCACCAAUUCAAGAAAAAAACUUGGAGUGGGAGAUACGUCUGAUGGCCCACAUUAUAUCCCCUCAGCCCUCCUCUGUUUCAGCCAUAGCUGUGGUAGAUGGUCCCUGUGAGCUGAAACUCACCUCUAGCUGACAGCCACCUACCUCAAGCAUCUGUGUAUCUUUCUGCUUUCUCUGAUAAUGCCUCAAGUGCAGUGUGCAA